rnacentral:misc_RNA from 1 species
UUUCCGUAGGUGAACCUGCGGAAGGAUCAUUACCUAGAGUUUGUGGGCUUUGCCUGCUAUCUCUUACCCAUGUCUUUUGAGUACCUUUGUUUCCUCGGCGGGUCCGCCCGCCGAAGACACCAAUUCAAACCCUUUGUAGUUGCAAUCAGCGUCUGAAAAAACACAAUAGUUACAACUUUCAACAACGGAUCUCUUGGUUCUG